AUUGAACGCUGGCGGCAUGCUUUACACAUGCAAGUCGAACGGCAGCGCGGGCUUCGGCCUGGCGGCGAGUGGCGAACGGGUGAGUAAUUCAUCGGAACGUGCCCAGUAGUGGGGGAUAGCUCGGCGAAAGCCGGAUUAAUACCGCAUACGACCUGAGGGUGAAAGCGGGGGAUCUUCGGACCUCGCGCUAUUGGAGCGGCCGAUGGCAGAUUAGCUAGUUGGUGGGGUAAAGGCCUACCAAGGCGACGAUCUGUAGCUGGUCUGAGAGGACGACCAGCCACACUGGAACUGAGACACGGCCCAGACUCCUACGGGAGGCAACAGUGGGGAAUUUUGGACAAUGGGCGAAAGCCUGAUCCAGCAAUGCCGCGUGUGUGAUGAAGGCCUUCGGGUUGUAAAGCACUUUUGGCGGGAACGAAAAGGACUGUGCCAAUACCACGGUUCGAUGACGGUACCCGCAGAAUAAGCACCGGCUAACUACGUG
rnacentral:rRNA from 1 species